GAUGAACGCUGGCGGCGUGCCUAAUACAUGCAAGUCGAGCGAACAGAUAAGGAGCUUGCUCCUUUGACGUUAGCGGCGGACGGGUGAGUAACACGUGGGUAACCUACCUAUAAGACUGGGAUAACUUCGGGAAACCGGAGCUAAUACCGGAUAACAUUUGGAACCGCAUGGUUCUAAAGUGGAAGAUGGUUUUGCUAUCACUUAUAGAUGGACCCGCGCCGUAUUAGCUAGUUGGUAAGGUAAUGGCUUACCAAGGCAACGAUACGUAGCCGACCUGAGAGGGUGAUCGGCCACACUGGAACUGAGACACGGCCCAGACUCCGGCGGGAGGCAGCAGUAGGGAAUCUUACGCAAUGGGGGAAAGCCGAACGGAGCAAAGCCGCGUGAAUGAUGAAGGGUUUAGGCUCGUAAAACUCUGUUAUUAGGGAAGAACAAAAGUGUAAGUAACUGUGCACGUCUUGACGGUACCUAAUCAGAAAGCCACGGCUAACUACGUG
rnacentral:rRNA from 1 species